CAACCCUCAAGCCCAGCUUGGUGUUGGGGCACUGCGGCUUGCCGCAAGCCCUGAAAAUCAUUGGCGGGCUCGCUAUAACUCCGAGCGUAGUAACAUACAUCGCUAUGGACGUUAGGCGGGUGCCGGCCGUGAAACCCCCGAAUUUUACAAGG
rnacentral:misc_RNA from 1 species